GAGAGAGUUGCGACACUUCCAUUGGACUCCGUUGUAGCGCCUACUUCCGGGGUAUGGAGCCUCGAAUAGUUCCAAACAACCAUUUUACGGCGGAGGAGACCGUUCAUUUCCAUUGCUGGCCGCCGAGUAACUUCUGAGGGUGAUGUUCAGCACAUGAAGCCCUACAGAUGCCGCCGAUUCAACAAUGCUGAUUAUGAUGGGCGGUCAAUUUAACCUUUGCCUUAUUAGGUCCUCCACAGUCGCCCCAUCAGUCCCUGGCAGUCUGGUCCCUGGAGCAGCUGGCCCUGGCAAAAGUUAUUCCUUCACUGUUGACCCCUGACUGACUGGCCCUCGGCACACAAAUCCCUGGAUCACCUGCCCCUGGAUCACCUGCCCCUGGAUCACCUGCCCCUGGAUCACCUGCCCCUGGAUCACCUGCCCCUGGAUCACCUGCCCCUGGCAAUGUAACCUCUUGAUUGCUCUCUCCGUCUCCUGUGAUGUCCUUUUCAACGCUCUUGAAAUCCACCUCAAUUUCUCCCUCAAUCUCUGUAAUAAUUACAAGGUAAUGUUGCUGUUAUAUGUAUUUUGCCUUUGCAUUUGCAACUACUGUCAUCUCCAAUGUAAUAAAAUGAAUUAAAGCAAAACAUUUCUGUAAUGUGAAUUAAAUCACCUGCCACAAUCAGAAACCAAUACAAUUUAUAAAUGGAUCUACCGGCAAUUGUUAAUUGGGUAGAAAUGUGUCGAUUAUCUACAUUGUGUGCAAAUCCUCAGAGAAUCCCUGCCUUCUGGUUGUUUUUUAAACUGAAUGUACAAAUAUGAAUUAUGUAAUCUCAUUAGGAGUGUAGUCUAUCCUUGAAUUACAUGAAAUGGGGAAUAUUGUUAGCUGCAUGGAUCAUACCGAAGUUUAAUUUGGUGCAAUGUGUGGUCCGUUGCACUUGGUUCCGGAGGCACCCUCACAGAAGGGGGUUUCCUCCUCUUCGGUUUAGGGCGAUGGAUGAAAACUGUUGGGCCUGCAUCGGGCCUCAACUUCAACAUCCUAUCUACUUUUGUGGCUUUGAAUCGGUCAUUUUCAAAGUGUACCUGUAGGUAGGCUUGUAAGAUCAGUUUCCAUUGCACUUCAAAUAUCAUUGGAAAGUCAUAAUUCUCUACA